ACGACGUUGUUGGAUAAGCCAGGAGGUGGCCGGGGGUGAUUAGCAUCACCAAAGGCUAUGUGAAGGGAUGCUUUUACACCUACCUCAACAUGAGGGACUGGGGGAGAACGGAAUAUAACUAGAGUAUCUGCCGAUUUGGGAACAUUAUUGCAUGCAGUGAAAAACAAUCAUAAGAUUCUAAACAACAGAGUUGUGUAGAUGACAUAGAUUUAAGGUGUUAAGAAGAACAUACAGUCGUUCUAUCAAUGAAACAACUCACAAAUUGAUUAGAAUGUUUUUAGGAAAACACUAGAUGUUAGAGUUUAGCUACUCAAGUGGCAUUUUUGGGAUAACAGCAGACGAUGGCCAACGCAGGAAGAUCCAACAUGACUUUUCUUCCUGGAACGAAUGUCCGAUUGGGGAAUCUUGUCCUAAUGGGACCUCCGGUUAGCAGAGCAGUCUGCUCACAGGAACUGAGGUGAUCCGAGGUCCAAGGAGGGAGCGUGAAGCUUAAUCACACGUCUAGGAUGACAGCUACGUGUCAUCUGACCAAACCACUGACAACAACAGAUGUUCCAGCAGAGGAACAUCAAGGAGGAGAAGUAUAGGCACACACAUACAACGAAGGAAUCCACAAACACUGAGCUAAUGUGACACACCAUUUCCAGAUUAGAGAAGGAACGGGAACGGCUGGGACACUUGAUAAACACAUAUGAUAAGAAUGUUCAGGAUGCAAACAUACGCCAACGAUAUUACAGUAACAGAAUUUGAGGAUUUUGAGUUCAGAGCGUCUAUUCGGUUGCAAUGACCAAUCAUCACCAAGAUAAAACUAAGCAGCAUUAGACGCAUUCACUGGGAACAUUUGGACAGAAGGAGGGGAGAGAAGUCCACCAUUUCAUAGGAUUGUGCCUAUUCAGAUAACUACAGCAUUGUCUCGGUUGAAAGGCAUAUAUCAUAGUAAGAAUUGAAAGUAAGAAUUGUUUUUGGGAGGCUAGAAGUUCCUGUAUGUGUUGUUUCUAUUUCACUCCAAACAGAGCUGAGAUCAUUAUUCAAUGCAAGUGAAUCCACACGACAACAAGUGGAGAGAUGGUGUCCAUUUAUGGAGGGAGAGUAAACUAUGAAGGGCAGGGUCUCAACCAUUGACCCACUGGUUAUGUUCUCCUCCUCAACAUGUGUUGUCAACUUGAAACAUCACUGUGGCACCGCCACAUAUAGAGCGGUUAUUCUGUUUGACGUCAUCCCUCCAGAAACAAACAGGGAUGGGAGCAUCAAUUGAAAGACACAUCCAGAGCU
ensembl:lncRNA